CCAAAUUUAGUUUUAAGAAUAUUUCUUUGUUAAUGAAAAGGAUAAAUUUUGGUU
rnacentral:tRNA from 1 species